rnacentral:misc_RNA from 1 species
UCCGCAUUUAGUAACACGGCCAAACGAAAUGUGAUUUCAAGUUUCAAGAACGUUCUGACUAUCUCAUUCCAGCAUUAUGAAGUGUAUACCCAUGGUCGUAGUGUGUUUGUGUUUAAAAUUAGUGCAAGGUAAUAUAGACAGUAAAUUACAUUAUUUUGAAACCCUGAAAUCAGUGGAGGUGCGGAGUCGUGUCAAGAGAAGUGCGGAUGGACAGAGUGCAGCUUAUAAGGAAGUCUGGUUCAGUGCCUUAGGAAGAAACUUCAAUAUGGUGAUGAAACCUGACACCAGAGUUUUGUCCAACUCUUUCAAAUCUUUCACUGUCAACGAAGAUGGACAUACAGAGCCAUUUCAUAUCAACCGGAAUGAGUUCUAUACUGGACAUUUAACAGAUGGAGAGGGUGUAGUUGAUGCUCAUUUAGAAGACUCACAGUGGAAUAUUCAAGUGGCAAUGAAAGAUGAUGUUUACUCUGUUGAGCCGUCAUGGAGACACCUGCCUCCCUCAGACAACCACACCCUGAUUGCAUACCGCCACUCUGACAUCAAGUGGGACCACGCCUACCCUCACCUGUCCAACCACAGCAACAAGAGACAAAGUAUAUGUGAGAGUAUUCAUCCUGAUAUUGGAGAGGGAGAAAUUGAUGAGGAAUCAGAAGAAAACCAGACAGAUUCAGCAGAUCAUGGACGUCAGAAGAGGCAAGCAUGGCUGCUAAAUAAAAACACUUGCAACCUAAUCUUGGUCGCAGACUACUUGUUUUAUGAAGGUGUUGGCGGAGGUUUCAAACAUCGAACUGCAAACUAUUUGAUUGGGCUGAUCCAGAGGAUAGACAACAUUUACCGUGACACGCUAUGGAAUAAGGAAAAGGGACAGAUAGGAUUUGGAUUUCAGAUCAAAGAGAUGCGUAUCCACAACAAGCCUACAACUGUAGCUAAGGGAGAAAAACACUACAACAUGAAGAACCCCAGCCAGUGGGACACACGCCAGCUGCUGAAUGAGUUCAGCAGCCAUGUGUAUUUUGGUCGAUUCUGCCUGGCACAUCUCUUCACAUACCAGAGUUUCAGCGGCGGCGUCUUGGGCCUGGCGUACAUAGGGUCACCGAGACUAGGCACUGUCGGCGGAAUAUGUUCUCCCUCCUACACAAGGCGGGGUAAGAGGCACUACCUCAACACUGGGUGGAGCAGCUCCCUCAACACAGCAGGCAUCAGGCAGCUCACACAGGAGUCCACAUUAGUUACAGCUCAUGAAUUUGGCCACAACUGGGGCAGUGAGCAUGACGUAGACACGCCCGAGUGUGCCCCUGACUCCUUCAACAAGGGCCGCUACAUCAUGUACCCCUACGCCGUCAGCGGGUGGGAGGAAAACAACCAUAUAUUCUCCCCCUGCAGCAGGCGUUAUGUGUCCGAUGUGCUGAGAGCCAAAGCUUUCAAGUGUUUUGUAGAGAGGAAGGACAAUGUGCCAUACUGUGGGAACGGCAUCGUGGACAACCUGGAGAACUGUGACGCCGGACCUGAUGGUGACGACUGCUGCACCAGCAAGUGUCGGUUCAAGUCAGGAGCCACUUGCAGCCCCAUGAACUCGGAGUGCUGUGAGAACUGCCAGAUGGCCACUGAGGACUACCAGUGUAGAAUCACGUCCCCCAACAGCUGUCUACAGACCACCAAGUGCAACGGUUCUAGUUAUGACUGCCCAAUGGCCGAGCCGAAGUUGAAUGGAACAGAUUGUAUAGAUGGUGGGAAAUGCUACGAUGGUAUAUGCAAGUCUUUCUGUGAAGUUAUGGACAUGGAGCCGUGCAUCUGCUUGGACAAACAGAGUGCCUGCGCCAGAUGUUGUAAACACACAGACAGUGGCCCGGAGGGGUGUAAACCUAGGGGGGGAAAUCUGGAGGAAGGAAGGCCCUGUUACCAGGGUUACUGCUCAAAGGAAGGGACCUGCACCAAGACCACAACGGAUCUUAUCUACAGGUUCUUUGACUUCAUAGAGAAACUCACUCCCAGUAAAUUUGUGGAGAUCAUGAGAAGCAACAUUGUGGGGACGGUCAUCGUGUUGUCCUUGAUCAUCUGGGUGCCUGCCAGCUGGGUGUUCAGCUGUAUAGACAAGAGAGAGGAAAAAGAAAGUAAAGAUGUCCGAGAUUGGAAAGGGAGUCCCUACCUUAUCACCAGUGAUGAAGUCUUGGAGAGAAAAAUCCAGGUGUCAGGAAUCCGGCGCCUAGGCCGACCAGCGCCACCCAGGAGGGCCUUGUCCCAGUCCACAGGUUCAGUGCAGUCCAUGGAAAAAGAGUCCACAGUUUGACCACUCAAGGCUUCAUAGCUUACUUUCAUGAAAGACAAGAAGUGGGUAUUUGUUGUCAACAUGUCGUUUGUGCAAUGAUUGGUUUUGCAAACGUAAAACAUUGACGUACUGUCGGCUCCAUGUUAGACAAGCACAAACUACAGGGGGCCAGAUUGCAUGUAGAUUUAUUGCAAUUCUCAGCUGGAGGGGUGUUUAUGUUGGGCAAAAUGGCCACAUUUCUGUGGAGUCAUCACUAAUCUUGAGCAAGCAUGGCCCACUAGUCUAAGGUGUUGAAAUUUGCUUGACGGAGUUGUAUCCCUUUACCUUGCCAAAUCUGAUGAUGAUGGGGUAAAAUCCCAUAUUCAUCUUCAUUAUCCUUCAUCUAUCAGCUGUUUUCCAGGUUUGUGGGUUUCUACAAUGUGGUAGACAUCAGUGAUCUGCAGCACUUCAGGCUUUCUUCUACCAGUAAGCUGACAUGCUGUGAUAUUACUGAAGUCAUGUUCAGACAUUAAUCACAAAUCACUCACUCCUCACAAGUGUUUGUCUGUAUGAUAAUAGACUGAAAUUUAGUCCCUAAAAUAAAGUUAUCUUAUCUAAAAAUGUAUAUCAAUAAAAUAAAAUAAAUAAAAUCCAAAUGAAGCCCAGAAUAAUCCUCAGCAGACUUGCCAAAUUAUUCUAGACUUGAGUUAGACUCCUUUUAUAUAUUUUUCUUUAGGGUCUGGAAGACAGACCAGUACAAUAACUGUAAUUAUCUAUUACCCAUUCUCAAUUACCAUAAAUGGUACAGAUGCUGAUUUUUGUCAAGACAAAAAAACCAAAGUGCUAUAAUCAAAACCUGUUGAAAAAUGUAUUUUAUGGAAAUGUUUUUUGAGGAAAUCAAAAAAUUAUAUUUGAAAUUGAAAUUGUUAUUUUUUCUAUUUUUUCAACCUACCAACCUGAAAUUUUUUAGCACCCCCACCCUCCAAAAUAAAUAAACCUGACCUUACCAUAUUCGCUGCAAUAAUUACCCUUUGGGAGUGUUUAUAAACACUGUACACAACGAGUUGGCUACAGAGUUCUAGUUUGUAAGUGUAACAGUCUGUAGUCGUUAUGUAGUCAUUUAUCUAUGCAGUAUGAUGUCAAAUGAAAUGAAUAGUGAUUAAAGGAUACCGGUAGGUACAGUAUGGAUUGAGAAUAAAUGUAGUGUUGAUCCAGCAUAGGUGCAGUAUUUGAUAUAGCAUAGGUGCAGUAUUUGAUAUAGCAUAGGUGCAGUAUUUUAUACAGCAUAGGUGCAGUAUUUGAUAUAGCAUAGGUGCAGUAUUUUAUAUAGCAUAGGUGCAGUAUUUUAUACAGCAUAGGUGCAGUAUUUUAUACAGCAUAGGUGCAGUAUUUGAUAUAGCAUAGGUGCAGUAUUUUAUACAGCAUAGGUGCAGUAUUUGAUAUAGCAUAGGUGCAGUAUUUUAUAUAGCAUAGGUGCAGUAUUUUAUACAGCAUAGGUGCAGUAUUUUAUAUAGCAUAGGUGCAGUAUUUUAUACAGCAUAGGUGCAGUAUUUGAUAUAGCAUAGGUGCAGUAUUUGAUAUAGCAUAGGUGCAGUAUUUGAUAUAGCAUAGGUGCAGUAUUUGAUAUAGCAUAGGUGCAGUAUUUUAUACAGCAUAGGUGCAGUAUUUGAUAUAGCAUAGGUGCAGUAUUUGAUAUAGCAUAGGUGCAGUAUUUUAUACAGCAUAGGUGCAGUAUUUUAUACAGCAUAGGUGCAGUAUUUGAUAUAGCAUAGGUGCAGUAUUUGAUAUAGCAUAGGUGCAGUAUUUGAUAUAGCAUAGGUGCAGUAUUUUAUACAGCAUAGGUGCAGUAUUUUAUACAGCAUAGGUGCAGUAUUUGAUAUAGCAUAGGUGCAGUAUUUGAUAUAGCAUAGGUGCAGUAUUUUAUACAGCAUAGGUGCAGUAUUUGAUAUAGCAUAACUUAAAACACUAAUGAUGCAGCUUGGAUCUGGAAUGGGUGAGGAGAGGUGAGGUGAAAUGGGGAUUAACGUUGCAUCCAAGAUUAUUCCGACAUGCUUGAGUGUGUGUGUGUGUGUGUGUGUGUGGCUGCUUUUACUAGUCUGGACUAAU